ACAUACCUAUAACUGCGGACGCGAGUGAUUAUGUGAUUAUCGUGGAAACUCCUCGGCCUCUGCAGCAGCUGUCUGCCGUCAUGUUACUGCGGUAUCAAACCCAGCCGGUGGCGUUUAGCAGGCGGCGGAGCAAAGCCGGAUCAGAGCCGUAAUACAGUGGACAGUAUCCAGUGGAAAUUCGGGUUGCCCCGCCCCCAUCUUUUGUCUCUGCCCAUCCCAUCCAUUGUCUCCGUCCCGCCCAGCAGACUGAACAACAAACCCCGACCCAGUGAACCAUCUCAGCCAGGCCUGGAUUCAAACGGCAGUGUGAGUGGGGCUAGUGUGAGUGUUGGUGUGAGACCUGGCAGUCGAGCGUCUCCGGAGCUCAGGAAGCCCAUCGUCCCGACUCUGUAGUUGACAGUGACGAUUAUGACGUCGCCCCUGUCGGCCAUCUCCUUCCCGUCGUACAGGGAGUCUCCCAGGAUCGCCACGUCGUUGGACGCUCCCAACAGGAAGGCUCCUCCGAACAGGGUGAUGAUCAGCAGGUGUUCCUGCGUGUGUUACGUACAUGAUCGUCCCUGUGGAACGAAGAUGUUCAGGUAGAGACAGUCCUCGCUGCCCUGGGUUUCUGUCUGCAGCAGC